AUGGCGCCGCCGCCGCCCUCCCACCCAGCACAACCGCCGGAGCCGCCGUUCCUUCAAACCCCAGUUGAGCUCCUCGAGGAAAUCUUCCUCCGCCUCCCCACGGCUGAGGACCUUGCCCGUGCCUCCACCGCCUGCGCCUCCUUCCACCGCGUAAUCGGCGGUCACGGCUUCCUGCGCCGCUAUCGUGUCCUCCACCGGCCGCCCCUCAUCGGCAUGUUUCACAAACCCUUCCUCACAGCCCUGCCUCCGCACCCCUCCGCCCUCGCCGCCCGCGCCUUUGCCGACUUCGACUUCUCGUGCUCCUCCUUCCUCCCCUCCACCGCAGGCCGUGCGUGGAGUCCGAUCGACUUCUUCGACGGACGUGCUCUCCUCGACUGCACCCCGGUAGAACACGGAAGCGGCAGCGCCAUCCUCGUGGGCCCUGACGGCGAGGUGUGCGAUUUCCAGUAUCGCGAAUUUCUUGUGAGGGACCUCGCCGUCUGCGACCCAGUGCACCGCCGCUACGUCCUAUUACCCGCCGUCCCCGGCAACCUGAAAGCGAUGGUCCAUCGAUCGGACCUACUUGGCCUAGAGACUUUCCUUGCUCCCGGCGAUGAUGAGGAGGACCCAUUGUCAUUCAGAGUAAUGUGCCUGGCAGAAUGCAGGAUGCAUCUGCUGCUUCUCGUCUUCUCGUCUUUGGAUGGACAAUGGCAAGUUCAUACUUAUUGCCAAUGGAAUGCUAAGGCUACAUUUGCUUCGUUUGAAAAAUCGGAGAGUGGGCUGUCUUAUCGUAGGUUGGUCCACGGAUCCUUCUGUUGGAAUCUGCAUUUCCUGAACAAGUUGCUUCUACUUGACAAGCACACCCUGGAGUUCUCUGCUGUCAACCUCCCACCUGAACGAAUAUGGAGAAGCCGGUUUGUCAUUGUCGAGGCAGCGGAAGGAGCGCUUGGAAGGCUCACUAUAUGGUAUGAUCAGUACAGUGAAUACGGCUCAUAUAUCCUCACGUACUGCGUUCUGAGAAAUAACCACUGGAAGUCAGAGAAGGUCAUCCCACUGCCCAUAAGCCGUGCGAUUCUGAUUGGUGUUGCUGGGGGAUACCUGCUUAUAGAAGGGUUCUACACCACACCUUCACAAGGGGAGCUAUCACAAGAAGCGCUAAAGUUUGGAUACUUCUCAGUGGACCUGAAGACGUUGCAGGUCGAGCUGUUCGCUGGGCUUAGCAAAUCCAUCUUCCCUGGUCGACUGUAUGCUGGUUUCCCACCGUCAUUGCGUCCGCCAACUGUAUGA
rnacentral:rRNA from 1 species